AUUCAUAUAGUUUAAGAAAACAUUACAUUUUCACUGUAAAGAUAAAGUCCAACUUUUAUGAAUA
rnacentral:tRNA from 2 species